GACGAACGCUGGCGGCGUGCCUAAUACAUGCAAGUCGAACGGCGCGGCGGACGGGUGAGUAAUACCUUGGAAUCUGCCUGGUAGUGGGCGAUAACGUUCGGAAACGGACGCUAAUACCGCAUACUAUCAGAUGAGUUUAGGUCGGAUUAGCUAGUUGGUGAGGUAAUGGCUCACCAAGGCUACGAUCCGUAACUGGUCUGAGAGGAUGAUCAGUCACACUGGAACUGAGACACGGUCCAGACUCCUACGGGAGGCAGCAGUGGGGAAUAUUGGACAAUGGGCGAAAGCCUGAUCCAGCCAGGCCGCGUGUGUGAAGAAGGUCUUCGGAUUGUAAAACACUUUGAGUAGGGAGGCGGUACCGACAGAGAAAGCACCGGCUAACUAUGUGCCAGCAGCCGCGGUAAUAC
rnacentral:rRNA from 1 species